rnacentral:rRNA from 1 species
CGUGAGCGACCUGCCAUACCUGUGGGGGAUAGCCGGCCCAACGGCCGGGUAAUACCGCAUACGAUCGUUUGGGGGCAUCCCUGGACGACGAAAGCUCGUAAGAGCGCAGGAUGAGGGGCUCGCGGCCUAUCAGCUAGUUGGCGGGGUAAUGGCCCACCAAGGCGAUGACGGGUAGCUGGUCUGAGAGGAUGGCCAGCCACAUUGGGACUGAGAGACGGCCCAG